rnacentral:rRNA from 1 species
UAGCCGUAAACGAUACUCGCUAGGUGUCGGCCACGGUGCGACCGUUGUCGGUGCCGUAGGGAAGCCGUGAAGCGAGCCACCUGGGAAGUACGGCCGCAAGGCUGAAACUUAAAGGAAUUGGCGGGGGAGCACCACAACGGGUGGAGCUUGCGGUUUAAUUGGAUUCAACGCCGGAAAUCUUACCGGGACCGACAGCAACAUGAAGGCCAGGCUGAAGACUUGCCGGAUUAGCUGAGAGGAGGUGCAUGGCGUAGUCGUGU